rnacentral:rRNA from 1 species
UACGUAGGAUGCAAGCGUUGUCCGGAAUUAUUGGGCGUAAAGAGCGCGCAGGCGGUAUGACAAGUCAGAUGUGAAAAGAGGUCGGCUUAACCGGCAAGGGUCAUUUGAAACUGUCAGACUAGAGUGCAGCAGAGGAUAGUGGAAUUCCCGGUGUAGUGGUGAAAUGCGUAGAUAUCGGGAGGAACACCAGUGGCGAAGGCGACUAUCUGGGCUGCAACUGACGCUGAGGCGCGAAGGCUAGGGGUAGCAAACAAGGAUGAUGAAACCGAACGAGUCAGACCCAAGUC